rnacentral:rRNA from 1 species
GCGUAUAUUAAGUUGUUGCGGUUAAAAAGCUCGUAGUUGGAUUUCUGUCGAGGACGGUCGGUCCACACUUUGUGUGAGUAUCUGAUUCGGCCUUGGCAUCCUCCUGGGGAACGUUUCUGCGCUUGAUUGCGUGGAGCGGAAUUCAGGACUUUUACUUUGAGGAAAUUAGAGUGUUCACGGCAGGCAAACGCCUUGAAUAUAUUAGCAUGGAAUAAUUAUAUAGGACCUUUUGUCUAUU